AUCGCUUAUCCUUCCUUCCCGUGUUCGCUCUAUGGGUUCCCUCGUUUACAGGAGCGCGGAAGUUCAAUUUCUUGAGGAGAUUCAAAAACCUAGGGUAGCAAAGGGCACAUCAUGUCGCCUGGGGUUCUGAUCUCGAGAGGACGUCAAGAUCGAGAGUGUUCCACGGCAAGAAUUAGGUCGGCAUUGAGACAUCGUUUUGGACGGAACGGGGUGGCCAGGUUAAAGUACACAUUACCCGGAAGGACAUGACCUACGAAGUGAGCUAGCACCUUGAUUCGUUCCUAAAUUGGGGAUCAUGGGCUGUUCUUCAGCACCAUUUAAGGGUGAGGUCAGCCUUUCUUCUCCUUUUAGCUGGUUUGAGGAAGGGAAGUGAUGCUGUAUUGAUGAUAAACUCUUAAAGAAGCUGAUCAGCUAAUAUUAGAAACAUGUCAUUGAGGUGCUGUCCAGUGGGUCUUGGACCAGGUGGUGAGGAAGGAACCAAUUGAAGCGAGAAGCUCA